ensembl:lncRNA
UGUAAAUCUCAAGUCUAUCCAGCAUUUGGUGCGUGGGCCAGGAAAAUCAGCCGUGCUGAUUGAUUAAAAUCACUGGUUGAAGCCCUUGCGGAGGAAGUGGGGAACCGCCCUGCCCCCCACCCCCAAUGGGACAGUAUGCUCUCAGAUUUCUCUGAGUCUCCUCAGAGGACUAGGGAUGAACUGAUUACCGCCUGUGAUUUUUCCAGGCCCAGAAGAAGUGAGGAUGCUUGUCUGGUUUAGUUCGAUAUGGUCAUUGGAUAAGAGAAGCUUCAGUGUUUGCCAUCAUCUUUGGAUGUCCAUUUCCACAUUUAAAGGGCAGACUCCAGCCUUUUGGUGCAGACCCUUUGGCUUCAGGAUAUUGACUCACACCAGACUCUGCAGUGAGCUCCAGGCCCUCCACUUUUGAUUGAUGCAUUCUUCACCCUGACUCUGCAGGCCCAGGAUCCAAGUGAACUUGAAGGAAGUCAAAGCUUAAACUACCAUCAAGACCAACAAGGGCUUCAGGCUAGAGGCAAAAGGACAGACUCUAGCCUCAGGCACCAGUUCCUCAAUGGACAAACAAAAGGCUACCACUACAGACCUGAAGCAGAACCAAGACGCAGAGCAGCAUGUCCUUGAAUAAGAGAUUUAUAUUUGAGGAGAGAUGGCUCUGCCAGUGUACUGAGCUAUUGAAGCAACAGUUGAAGAGG